rnacentral:rRNA from 1 species
GACGAACGCUGGCGGCGUGCUUAACACAUGCAAGUCGAGCGAUGAAGCUUUUUCGGAAGUGGAUUAGCGGCGGACGGGUGAGUAACACGUGGGUAACCUGCCUCAUAGAGGGGAAUAGCCUUCCGAAAGGAAGAUUAAUACCGCAUAAGAUUGUAAUAUCGCAUGAUAUAGCAAUUAAAGGAGUAAUCCGCUAUGAGAUGGACCCGCGUCGCAUUAGCUAGUUGGUGAGGUAACGGCUCACCAAGGCGACGAUGCGUAACCGACCUGAGAGGGUGAUCGGCCACAUUGGGACUGAGACACGGCCCAGACUCCUACGGGAGGCAGCAGUGGGGAAUAUUGCACAAUGGGGGAAACCCUGAUGCAGCAACGCCGCGUGAGUGAUGACGGUCUUCGGAUUGUAAAGCUCUGUCUUUAGGGACGAUAAUGACGGUACCUAAGGAGGAAGCCACGGCUAACUACGUGCCAGCAGCCGCCGUAA